AUACGAAGGGUGCAAGCGUUACUCGGAAUUACUGGGCGUAAAGCGUGCGUAGGUGGUUGUUUAAGUCUGUCGUGAAAGCCCUGGGCUCAACCUGGGAAUGGCGAUGGAAACUGGGCGACUAGAGUGUGGCAGAGGGUAGUGGAAUUCCUGGUGUAGCAGUGAAAUGCGUAGAGAUCAGGAGGAACAUCCGUGGCGAAGGCGACUGCCUGGGCCAACACUGACACUGAGGCACGAAAGCGUGGGGGGCAAACAGGAUUAGAUACCCUGGUAGUCCACGCCCUAAACGAUGCGAACUGGAUGUUGGGUGCAAUUUGGCACGCAGUAUCGAAGCUAACGCGUUAAGUUCGCCGCCUGGGGAGUACGGUCGCAAGACUGAAACUCAAAUGAAUUGACGGGG
rnacentral:rRNA from 1 species